rnacentral:rRNA from 1 species
UUGGAGGGCAAGUCUGGUGCCAGCAGCCGCGGUAAUUCCAGCUCCAAUAGCGUAUAUUAAAGUUGUUGCAGUUAAAAAGCUCGUAGUUGAAUUUCGGGAUUGACGUGACGGUCGUGCCUUACGGGGUAUGAACUGUCGCCGUUGAUUUCUCACCUUCUGGAGAAGCUCGAUGUCCUUAAUUGGGUGUCUUGCGGAACCAGGACCUUUACCUUGAAAAAAUUAGAGUGUUUAAAGCAGGCAUUUUGCUCGAAUACAUUAGCAUGGAAUAAUAGAAUAGGACGGCAUGGUUCUAUUUUGUUGGUUUCUAGGAUCACCGUAAUGAUUAAUAGGGAUAGUUGGGGGCAUUAGUAUUCAAUUGUCAGAGGUGAAAUUCUUGGAUUUAUUGAAGACUAACUACUGCGAAAGCAUUUGCCAAGGAUGUUUUCAUUAAUCAAGAACGAAAGUUAGGGGAUCGAAGACGAUCAGAUACCGUCGUAGUCUUAACCAUAAACUAUGCCGACUAGGAAUCAGACGAUGUUAAUUUUCUAAUGACUCGUUUGGCACCUUACGGGAAACCAAAGUGUUUGGGUUC